UACUUUUCUUUUUUUUUUUAAGCACUCAGCUGAAAUCUUAACCCUCGAAUGAAGAACCGACGACGAUCCAGGAUAAUCUUGGAUCUUUUGGAUUCUCCGAAUGGAGUCACUUUAUAGCCCCAAGCUCUGUGGGCCUGGGGCUCCAUUCCAUUCUCAUUUCGCGCUUCUCUCUCUCGACCCCUAGCCGCCUCCCGCCGCCCUCCUUGGUCGAAAAGGUCUCCUCCAAUCUCCAGGAUGACAGAACUACCUUUUGUGUCUAGAGAGCGGCUCAAUAAGCAUCAGCAAUACUUCCAGAGCAUUCACAAGCAUACUCACCUGAAAGGCCGUUAUGAUAAGAUAACCUCUGUUGCUAUCCCCCUUGCCUUAGCAGCCUCUACCACAUUUCUGCUUGCACGUGGCAUAUACAACAUGUCUCAUGGGAUAGGGAAGAAGGAAUGAGCUCUUUUCUUUGCUGCUUGCUGUCAAUAAAUCCAGUGUCUGACAUGGGAUAAAGGUUUUAUUUAUUUAUUUAUUUGUCUCUGGUAAUGGUAAUCACAAAGUGCAACUUUGUUUGGACAUGUUUAUUUCUAUUUUUCUAUCAAAACACAGACUGAGUGCUUUGAAUAAGAUUUAUGUUGGUGGGUUAUACUGCUGCUUUACAAACUUAAUUUACAGUGAGCUGAAAUUUAUGUUGGGCC